GAUGAACGCUGGCGGCGUGCCUAAUACAUGCAAGUCGAGCGAACGGACGAGAAGCUUGCUUCUCUGAUGUUAGCGGCGGACGGGUGAGUAACACGUGGAUAACUUACCUAUAAGACUGGGAUAACUUCGGGAAACCGUAGCUAUUACCGGAUAAUACUUUGAACCGCAUGGUUCAAAAUUGAAAGACGGUCUUGCUGUCACUUAUAGAUGGAUCCGCGCUGCAUUAGCUAGUUGGUAAGGUAACGGCUUACCAAGGCAACGAUGCAUAGCCGACCUGAGAGGGUGAUCGGCCACACUGGAACUGAGACACGGUCCAGACUCCUACGGGAGGCAGAAGUAGGGAAUCUUCCGCAAUGGGCGAAAGCCUGACGGAGCAACGCCGCGUGGGUGAUGAAGGUCUUCGGAUCGUAAAACUCUGUUAUUAGGGAAGAACAUAUGUGUAAGUAACUGUGCACAUCUUGACGGUACCUAAUCAGAAAGCCACGGCUAACUACGUG
rnacentral:rRNA from 1 species